UGCAGUCGAACGGUGAAGCCCAGCUUGCUGGGUGGAUCAGUGGCGAACGGGUGAGUAACACGUGAGCAACCUGCCCCUGACUCUGGGAUAAGCGCUGGAAACGGCGUCUAAUACUGGAUACGAGUAGCGACCGCAUGGUCAGUUACUGGAAAGAUUUAUUGGUUGGGGAUGGGCUCGCGGCCUAUCAGCUUGUUGGUGAGGUAAUGGCUCACCAAGGCGUCGACGGGUAGCCGGCCUGAGAGGGUGACCGGCCACACUGGGACUGAGACACGGCCCAGACUCCUACGGGAGGCAGCAGUGGGGAAUAUUGCACAAUGGGCGCAAGCCUGAUGCAGCAACGCCGCGUGAGGGAUGACGGCCUUCGGGUUGUAAACCUCUUUUAGCAGGGAAGAAGCGAAAGUGACGGUACCUGCAGAAAAAGCGCCGGCUAACUACGUGCCAGCAGCCGCGGUAAUACGUAGGGCGCAAGCGUUAUCCGGAAUUAUUGGGCGUAAAGAGCUCGUAGGCGGUUUGUCGCGUCUGCUGUGAAAUCCGGAGGCUCAACCUCCGGCCUGCAGUGGGUACGGGCAGACUAGAGUGCGGUAGGGGAGAUUGGAAUUCCUGGUGUAGCGGUGGAAUGCGCAGAUAUCAGGAGGAACACCGAUGGCGAAGGCAGAUCUCUGGGCCGUAACUGACGCUGAGGAGCGAAAGGGUGGGGAGCAAACAGGCUUAGAUACCCUGGUAGUCCACCCCGUAAACGUUGGGAACUAGUUGUGGGGUCCAUUCCACGGAUUCCGUGACGCAGCUAACGCAUUAAGUUCCCCGCCUGGGGAGUACGGCCGCAAGGCUAAAACUCAAAGGAAUUGACGGGGACCCGCACAAGCGGCGGAGCAUGCGGAUUAAUUCGAUGCAACGCGAAGAACCUUACCAAGGCUUGACAUAUACGAGAACGGGCCAGAAAUGGUCAACUCUUUGGACACUCGUAAACA
rnacentral:rRNA from 1 species